UCUCUCUCUCUCUCUCUCUCUCUCUCUUAGAAACUCAACUUUUCUUACAUAGAUCUCUAGAUCUACUUGGUUAGAGACAUCUUUUCACCUUGGUCCUUUGAGAAAAGUUGUAGAUCUCAUCAAUGGCUUUCUUUUGAUCCAAGAGUUUUGUGGUUUCAUUGACUUUGAGUUUUUCAGAGUUCUCGUAUUCGCUUCAAGAGGUGUACAUGUGUGGAUAUGGACUGAAACGUGAAGCUGUGUUCGAAACCGUGUAGGAUGGUUCUGUUGUUUGUAGGCUAAGGGCCAUUUAUGUUAUUUAUUGGUCAUGUGACAUUCUUGUAAAGGUUACACCCUUGCGUAUAAUCUUCCUGUCCUAGAGUGAUCCAGGGGCUGCACACUUAAGCGGGUUGUGUUUCACCCUGAUUCUACCAGGUUCAGGCCUCUGAAUCGACCUGACCCAUUUGCAACCCCAAAUAUGCCAACUCAGGACUUUUACAGUUCUAGUCUUCAGCUUGAACAAACCCUAGAGGUUUUGGUGAACCCAUCUAGCCCAACUGAAGCAUGAGCCCGCUUGAGCCCGUUUAUUUUUCAACCUUCGAAAAAGCCUACUUUUGCCGUUAGUUGAUGACAAUAAAAAGU